rnacentral:rRNA from 1 species
AUUGAACGCUGGCGGCAUGCCUUACACAUGCAAGUCGAACGGUAACGGGCCUUCGGGUGCCGACGAGUGGCGAACGGGUGAGUAAUGUAUCGGAACGUACCUUUCAGUGGGGGAUAACGUAGCGAAAGUUACGCUAAUACCGCAUAUUCUGUGAGCAGGAAAGCAGGGGAUCGCAAGACCUUGCGCUGAUUGAGCGGCCGAUAUCAGAUUAGCUAGUUGGCGAGGUAAAGGCUCACCAAGGCGACGAUCUGUAGCGGGUCUGAGAGGAUGAUCAGCCACACUGGAACUGAGACACGGUCCAGACUCCUACGGGAGGCAGCAGUGGGGAAUUUUGGACAAUGGGGGCAACCCUGAUCCAGCCAUGCCGCGUGAGUGAAGAAGGCCUUCGGGUUGUAAAGCUCUUUCGGCCGGGAAGAAAUCGUAUCAGCUAAUACCUGGUGCGGAUGACGGUACCGGCAUAAGAAGCACCGGCUAACUACGUGCCAGCAGCCGCGGUAAUAC